AUGAUAUUGAUUUGAAUGCGUUGAUUGUUGAAGAUUACAGUUCAUCAACUCCUGUUGAAUGUAAUCUCCCUAAUGGUGUUGAAUCGGAUUCACUAGUUGUAUGUAAUGCUAGUUCUUCAUGUUUUGAUGGUGAUCACGAUGACAUUCCAGAUGGCUGUAAUCCAUCUGCUGGAGGUGGUGGUACUUCUACAGAUGCCAAUG